GGAGGAAAGCAGGGGAUCGAAAGACCUUAUGCUUUUGGAGCGGCCGAUGUCUGAUUAGCUAGUUGGUAGGGUAAUGGCUUACCAAGGCGACGAUCAGUAGUUGGUCUGAGAGGACGACCAGCCACACUGGGACUGAGACACGGCCCAGACUCCUACGGGAGGCAGCAGUGGGGAAUUUUGGACAAUGGGCGCAAGCCUGAUCCAGCAAUGCCGCGUGAGUGAAGAAGGCCUUCGGGUUGUAAAGCUCUUUCAGUCGAGAAGAAAAGAUUGUGACUAAUAAUCACAAUUCAUGACGGUAUCGACAGAAGAAGCACCGGCUAACUACGUGCCAGCGGCCGCGGUAAUACGUAGGGUGCAAGCGUUAAUCGGAAUUACUGGGCGUAAAGGGUGCGCAGGCGGUUCUGUAAGACAGACGUGAAAUCCCCGGGCUUAACCUGGGAACUGCGUUUGAAACUACAAAGCUAG
rnacentral:rRNA from 1 species